AUGGGUUCUGGGGGUAGAUGUCCAGGGUUCGGGGCAGCCGGUCCCUGCCUGUGCUGCUGGGGGGAGCAGAACCCCACCCAGCUGUGCCAGCCAGCAUCACCUUCAGAGGUGGCUCCUCCUUUCUGCUCGCUGUUAGGGAGUCAGAAGUUAUUUGCCAUCUGGCAUCUUUUUAAUUCACUUUCUCAUAGCGUUCACGUCUUUAGUUGCCACAACCAGAAUGGGUUUUCUUUUCUCGGUUGUACGGUUGAGGUAAGAAGCAUCCCGUGCCCCAGGAGGUGGGAUGGGGCACUGCCCGCGUGGGACCGAGCAGCCCGGGUGUGCGAUGUGCUGCGGCAGCAGGAGCUCUGGGUGGCUCUGCUCCCACACAGGUUGCGGCUGGACCAGUGGGCAGCUUUGCAGAAGGAGCUGCAGGCUCAUCAGGCGUCGGGGGCCCUUGAAUUGCUGCUGCAGCUGUGGGCUCGGCACCAGAGCACUGCUGCCUGGCUGCGAGGCAAUGAAUGCUUCCUGAAGCACUCCGUGAGGAUCUGCUUCGCCUGCCCGUGCAGUAAGGCAUCGCUGACGUUGAGGGGAAUCAAGCUCGUAGCUCCUUUUGCUGCUUUGGAGAAUUCUGCGUAA
rnacentral:lncRNA from 1 species